rnacentral:rRNA from 1 species
CCUACGGGUGGCAGCAGUGGGGAAUAUUGGACAAUGGGGGGAACCCUGAUCCAGCCAUGCCGCGUGUGUGAAGAAGGCCCUCGGGUUGUAAAGCACUUUCAGUGAGGAAGAACGCCUGGUGGUUAAUACCCAUCAGGAAAGACAUCACUCACAGAAGAAGCACCGGCUAACUCCGUGCCAGCAGCCGCGGUAAUACGGAGGGUGCGAGCGUUAAUCGGAAUUACUGGGCGUAAAGCGCGCGUAGGUGGCUUGAUAAGCCGGUUGUGAAAGCCCCGGGCUCAACCUGGGAACGGCAUCCGGAACUGUCAAGCUAGAGUGCAGGAGAGGAAGGUAGAAUUCCCGGUGUAGCGGUGAAAUGCGUAGAGAUCGGGAGGAAUACCAGUGGCGAAGGCGGCCUUCUGGACUGACACUGACACUGAGGUGCGAAAGCGUGGGUAGCAAACAGGAUUAGAGACCCCGGUAGUC